rnacentral:rRNA from 1 species
ACACUCCUGCGGGAGGCAGCAGUGGGGAAUAUUGGACAAUGGGCGCAAGCCUGAUCCAGCCAUGCCGCGUGAGUGAUGAAGGCCCUAGGGUUGUAAAGCUCUUUCACCGGUGAAGAUAAUGACGGUAACCGGAGAAGAAGCCCCGGCUAACUUCGUGCCAGCAGCCGCGGUAAUACGAAGGGGGCUAGCGUUGUUCGGAUUUACUGGGCGUAAAGCGCACGUAGGCGGACUAUUAAGUCAGGGGUGAAAUCCCGGGGCUCAACCCCGGAACUGCCUUUGAUACUGGUAGUCUUGAGUUCGAGAGAGGUGAGUGGAAUUCCGAGUGUAGAGGUGAAAUUCGUAGAUAUUCGGAGGAACACCAGUGGCGAAGGCGGCUCACUGGCUCGAUACUGACGCUGAGGUGCGAAAGCGUGGGGAGCAAACAGGAUGAGAAACCCUGGUAGUCCCAUGA